UAGGGAAUAUUGGACAAUGGGCGCAAGCCUGAUCCAGCAAUGCCGCGUGAGUGAUGAAGGCCUUAGGGUUGUAAAGCUCUUUUACCCGAGAUGAUAAUGACAGUAUCGGGAGAAUAAGCCCCGGCUAACUCCGUGCCAGCAGCCGCGGUAAUACGGAGGGGGCUAGCGUUGUUCGGAAUUACUGGGCGUAAAGCGCACGUAGGCGGUUAUUCAAGUCAGAGGCGAAAGCCCAGUGCUCAACACUGCAACUGCCUUUGAAACUAGAUAGCUUGAAUCCAGGAGAGGUGAGUGGAAUUCCGAGUGUAGAGGUGAAAUUCGUAGAUAUUCGGAAGAACACCAGUGGCGAAGGCGGCUCACUGGACUGGUAUUGACGCUGAGGUGCGAAAGCGUGGGGAGCAAACAG
rnacentral:rRNA from 1 species